AACUGACUUCAUCUAAACUGAGAGAAAAUGCUCUUACUUUAAAUAACACUGUCUAUGGGUGAUUCUGCAAUAGUGAGAUAUAGGCUAUGAAGUUGAUUUAACUUAAUUGGUACAGUCAUUUCAGGGCCUCAUUUUAGGUAACAGUGAUAUGCAUUUCUUUUGCGCAGCACCCUCCAUUUCCAUUCCCCAGGAGUCGUUUGCAACAUUUACUUGGCAGGAAGAGCAAGUUUCUCAGUUCAGCUCCUACUCUCCAGCCACUAAUCCUUCUGGAUUUGUCUGCGACUUCAACUGCAAAACACCAUCACGGUACCCAAGCCAAACAGGCUGAUUUGGCACAGGUGACAGCUUUGCCCUAGCAGCAUGCAGGUGUAGGCAGGGUUAUUUACCCACCUGAAAAGCAACUGUAGCGUGAUGGCAGGCAGCAACUCUGUCUUGUGGACUCUGCUCAUACCUGAUAUGAACUGCUGUGGUACUUUGGUAUGCAUGUAGGUUGCAAAAAUGUCCCAUAAUAAGUAGAUGUAUGAACAAAUAAUUAAAUCUCUGUAUUUAGACUCUUUUAUUUAACUAUAAAAAACCUUGUAGUGUUCUGUGUGAUUCUAAUGUCCUGAGAUUCCUGUCAAAAAUUCAUUUACCAGCAGGUUCCCAAUCUACACUCCAGGUAAAAACUUGUACAUUUGACAUUAAGGUUUAAGCUGAUGUUUGUUGAGAGUCACUCAGAGAUGGUGGAUUUUUCUCUUUCUUCAGGUUGCUUUCCUACAAGAAAUAUGGUGAAGUUCUGGCCAGCGGUAAAUACAGGGGAUAUUUUCAAGUGAUUUUAUAAGUCCCCGCUAGGUUAUCCAAGGUUGCCUCUUGGGAAAGUCCUUGUUGCUGGUGGUGACAAAAUGAUAUUACAUAGUUAGUCUUAAAAUUAGGGGAAUAUAUCUACAGUCUGCACAGAGCUGGUACUGCUCCAGGCUCUGCCAGGCUGAGCUAUGGAAGGCCCUUUCAAACUGAUUGUGAAAUCAUUAGUAAUAAAAUUUAUAAGGAUGAAAAUGAACUGUUGUGAUUUUUUUUUUGUGUUUGGUCUAUUUGCUAAGGCCAAGAGCUGUUCAGGCUGUCACUGGUUCACGGUCUACCUGCCAGGCUGCUGCUCUGUGUGGGUGCCAGUCAGUCAAACUAGUGUAAACUUGGAUGCUGGUAUGUGUAUUCAGCUUCGGACAUGGUAUGUACUCUUGUUUUUCCUUCACUUUGUAGUAGAUGGGGAGGCACCUUUUCCUGCUUGUGUUCUGCUGGAUCCUUCCACUCCUUGGGAAUUAGGUCUGGGUUUCAGAUCAUUAUAGGCUGGAAUGUACCUGAGACGCACAACUGGAGCUGAAGAAGAGGAGAUCUAAAACUCUACAGUCAAGUUGCCUGUGCUGUAAACCCAGGGACAGAAGAAGGACACCGAAGUGUCAAGAAAGACAGAUUCAAUAUUAACUAAUGAAAAUGCAAUUGCUAUGGGCAUGAUUCAUCCUUAUGAAAAGGAUGUGGAGAAAGGAAUGGAUGUUUUGAUCCCUGGAGAACUGACUAGGCAGCUAGUGUGCUGGAUGCAACGUGGAUGCAAACUCCUUGCUGUUGAAGACAACAUCAGGUUGAAAGAUUGGGACUGCAAAGCCAACGUUGGACUGUGGUCUUAGUGAUGCAUCUGCCCUCUGUGCUCAAAGUGGCUGAGGUGGCAGUCGCCAGUUAUGUCCUCCUGAGAUCUUCUGUCCCUGAACCCCUAAAAUGGGCACUCAUGCAGUUGGAUAUGUCCUAUGAAGGCUGUUGCUCAUACAAUGAGCAAUGAGAACAGGAGAAAAGGAUGCAUAAACAAGAAGAAUAUCGAAGACAGAAACAGGACUUCACAUAAAUUAGGCUCAUUUGAGGAAAAUGUCUGUUCUUGGAAAUAAAGGGUGAUCUCGGAGCUCAUGAACUCAGUUCCGCCUGGAUGAAAAUGAGACAAGCGCUCCCACCACUAAUGGCAAUUCAGUUCAUCAGACCAGACUAGAGCUCAUCUGAAGUAAACCCCUUCACCUUCCCCACCUCAUUUUUUUAAUAACAUGGGUAUUAGGUCCUCAGCACCAACUGCUUGUCUCUGUAUGUGCCUUCUAAUUGCAAUGUAGACAUAGCCUUGGGCUAUGGAGAUGGCUUCAGUUGCUACCCCACAGCUCCCUGUCUGCAUCUUGGGAAGAUCUGUAGCUUUCCCUCAUUCUGAGGAUUGUUAGUAAGUGCCUGUAAUGUUUUUCUUUUUUCUUUUUUUUUUGUAGAAGAAAAUAGCUGCUUAAAUAACAAUUAUUACUGGUAAGUGUGCACGGUACAACCUAUUGCUGCCUUUCUCCUGAAUAAGUUGUGCACAAAAUUCCCCUGAGAGGCAGAGUUACUAAGGAGUUAUCUAGAUACAUACGUUUUUGCAAGUCUUUCAUCUAACUCAGAGGUGGGAAUGCAAAUGUGAAACUUAAGGACAUCCUGUGGCUUUGUGACACUCUCUGGGAGAGAUGUACUCGUUGAGAUGAAUAGAUCGCACUCAUUCAUAUUCCUCAUUUACUCAUGUAACAUUUAUAAUAUGGAUAAUGUUCCCCCUUUACUGAGUAAUUAAUAACAGUCCAGUGUAAGUUGCAGAUGGAACUUAAAAUUACACUUCAUUGUACUUAACUGUUUCAGAUCAGCGCAGUCUGGCUUUGCAGACCUGUGCAAGCGGCAGAGCAAAGCUGUUCCGCUGCAGUGAGACCCCAGGGGACACUGUACUGCAGGUAAAUGUGAGCACUGGAUUUCCUUCAGUGUGCAUGCAGGAAUAACAGAGCAGGAGAUUUGGACCUGCCUGAUCUCCUGUCUCUGACCUCCCCAGAUGCUUUGGUUUGCUGUGUGAGCAGAACUUCUUCAAGAUCUUGCUUCCUAUUUCUUGGUUCCCUUUCUGGAAUCCUGAUUUUUUUUUGGGAUAGGAGCCAGAUGAAGCUGCUCUGGUGAUACAGGGGGACCACAGCUAAGGAACUCUUGUGCCAUGGGCUUCUUGCUCCUACUGUGCAGGACUCUGGCUCUGUAUUAUUCUUGACAUGUAGGGCUACAUGAUUUGAAACCUCGCAAUGUGUGACAGGGUCAUUGCUGAAGAACACUUUUCUUGCAGACUCUGUGUAAAGCACCCCUGCUGCAGCGUGGUGAGAACCGACCUGCCCUAGUGGCUUAGGGUCUGGUUCUGGGCAAUCCUUAAGUCUGUGCUUAAAAUAAAGGGCUCAGGUCUUGCACCAUUUCUCUCUCAAAGGUCUGCAUUACUAUCCUUCAUCUCAUCAAAUAUGUGCUUUUUUAUAGCAAU